rnacentral:rRNA from 1 species
UCGUUGAUCUUGCGGGAGGUUGCUGCUAUUGGAGUUCAGUUAGACAUGCAAGUCAGGCCAUUCUUCGGAAUGACCGGCAAAAGGCUCAGUAACACGUCGAUAAUCUGUCUUUAGGUUGAGGAUAACGUCGGGAAACUGACGGUAAUACUCAAUAAGAGAUAAUUGCUGGAAUGCAUUUUCUCUUAAACUCGUGCCUAAAGGUGAGUCGGCGGCGGAUUAGGUUGUUGGUGAGGUAAUGGCUCACCAAGCCUUUGAUCUGUAGGGGGGAUGAGAGUCCUAACCUCGAGAAGGGCACUGAGAUACUGGCCCUAGUCCUAAGGGAUGCAGCAGUCAAGGAUCCUUUACAAUGCACGAAAGUGUGAUAGGGGAACUCCAAGUGCUUUGCUUUUAGUAAAGCUUUUGCCAAUUGAAAACACAUUGGCGAAUAAGUGGUGGGUAAGACCGGUGCCGGCCGCCGCGGUAACCCCGGCGCCACAAGUGGCAACCACGUUUAUUGGGUCUAAAGCAUUCGUAGCCGGCUUAGUCAGUCUUUUGUGAAAUUGUUAAGCUUAACUUAACAGUGUGCAGAAGAUACUGCUAAACUUGAGACCGGGAGGAGACAGAGGUAUUCCAUGGGGAGCGGUAAAAUGCUAUAAUCCUUGGAGGACCACCGAUGGCGAAGGCAUCUGUCUAGAACGGUUCUGACGGUGAGGAAUGAAGGCUAGGAUACCGAUCGGGAUUAGAUACCCCAGUAGCCCUAGCAGUAAACUCUGUGAGCUUGGUGUUGCAUAUUCUACAUGAAUGUGCAGUGCCGGAGAGAAGUCGUUUAGCUCACCACCUGGGAAGUAUGGUCGCAAGACUGAAACUUAAAAGAAUUGGCGGGGGCGCACUACAAGGAGUGAGGUGUGCGGUUUAAUUGAACUCCACGCCGGAAAUCUUACCAGGAGCGACGGCAGGAUGAAGGUCAGAUUAAAGGUUUUACCUGACGAGCCGAGAGAUAGUGCAUGGCCGUCGUCAGUUCGUGCUGUGAAGUGUCCUGUUAAGUCAGGCAACGAACAAGACCUACAUCUACAUUUGCUACAGGUUCUUUUGAAUGACUGAGCACAAUGUAGAGACUGCCCUUGAAAAAGGGAGGAAGGUGUAGGCAACGGUAGGUCUGUAUGCUUCGAAUCUCCUGGGCUACACGCGCGCAACAAUGGUAUGGACAAUGGGAUGCAACUCUGAAAAAAGAAGCAAAUCCUCUAAACCAUAUCUUAGUCUAGAUUGAGGAUUGUAACUUGUCCUCAUGACACUGGAAUUCCUAGUAAUCGGGUUUCAAAAUGGCCCGGUGAAUAAGUCCCUGUGCCUUGCACACACCGCCCGUCAAGCCAACCGAGCAGUGUUUAGGCGAGUGUUAGUCUUUAAUUAAUACGAACCUAAGCUCAGUAAGGUGGGUUAAGUCGUCACAAGGUA